UACAGAGGGUGCGAGCGUUAAUCGGAAUUACUGGGCGUAAAGAGCUCGUAGGCGGCUUAGUAAGUCGGGUGUGAAACCUCCAGGCUCAACCUGGAGACGCCACCCGAUACUGCUGUGGCUUGAGUCCGGUAGGGGAGCGUGGAAUUCCUGGUGUAGCGGUGAAAUGCGCAGAUAUCAGGAGGAAUACCGGUGGCGAAAGCGACUCUCUGGACGGCAACUGACGCUGAGGCACGAAAGCGUGGGGAGCAAACAGG
rnacentral:rRNA from 1 species